GACAGAGGGAGCCCGACUCCCGUGCCCUUGGCAUGAGGAAAGUCCCCCACCGGCCGGACGGGCGACCGGGCACACGCCCGGAGUCGGAGACGGCUGGCUCUGGAACAGCAACGACACCCCCCGCCUCGACCGAUGAGUCGAGCGAACCGACCCGCAAGGGGAGGGAGUUAACCCGACGAGGGCCGACGGGCGGGAACGGAUGGAACGGCGAAUCCUCGCCGGUGCAAGUCCGCGCCACAAGGUAGUCCGGCCACGGCGCGGACGCUCAGCCGAAUGUCGGGACGAACCGAAGGGGGCUUACUCCCCUCAGUC
rnacentral:RNase_P_RNA from 1 species